ensembl:miRNA MIR188 microRNA 188
UCUCACAUCCCUUGCAUGGUGGAGGGUGAGCUUUCUGGAAACCCCUCCCACAUGCAGGGUUUGCAGGA